UAGGACGGAGUACUGCGAGUGUUUAAUUUCGAAACUAUGGAACUAAUUGGUUCAGCCAGAUCAUAUUUUGGAGGAUUGUUGUGUUGUGCUUGGUCUCCUGAUGGAAGGUAUAUAGUGGUGGGAGGAGAGGAUGAUCUAAUAGCUGUUUAUGGAAUACAGG